GAUGAACGCUGGCGGCGUGCCUAAUACAUGCAAGUCGAGCGAACAGACGAGGAGCUUGCCCCUCUGACGUUAGCGGCGGACGGGUGAGUAACACGUGGAUAACCUACCUAUAAGACUGGGAUAACUUCGGGAAACCGGAGCUAAUACCGGAUAAUAUAUUGAACCGCAUGGUUCAAUAGUGAAAGACGGUUUUGCUGUCACUUAUAGAUGGAUCCGCGCCGCAUUAGCUAGUUGGUAAGGUAACGGCUUACCAAGGCAACGAUGCGUAGCCGACCUGAGAGGGUGAUCGGCCACACUGGAACUGAGACACGGUCCAGACUCCUACGGGAGGCAGCAGUAGGGAAUCUUCCGCAAUGGGCGAAAGCCUGGCGGAGCAACGCCGCGUGAGUGAUGAAGGUCUUCGGAUCGUAAAACUCUGUUAUUAGGGAAGAACAAAUGUGUAAGUAACUAUGCACGUCUUGACGGUACCUAAUCAGAAAGCCACGGCUAACUACGUG
rnacentral:rRNA from 1 species